AUCCCGGGCCUUGUACCGCACGGAGUCUGACGGAUCAGACCGAAGAGAGAAAAAUGAGGUUUCGUCUCGUAAGGUGGGGUAAAGGGAAGAACAAGUGCGAGAGUAACUGCUCGCACCUUGACGGUACCUAACCAGAAAGCCACGGCUAACUACGUGCCAGCAGCCGCGGUAAUACGUAGGUGGCAAGCGUUGUCCGGAAUUAUUGGGCGUAAAGGGCUCGCAGGCGGUUUCUUAAGUCUGAUGUGAAAGCCCCCGGCUCAACCGGGGAGGGUCAUUGGAAACUGGGAAACUUGAGUGCAGAAGAGGAGAGUGGAAUUCCACGGUGUAACGGUGGUUAUUUUUUUAUAUGUGGAGGAACACCAGUGGCGAAAGGCGACUCUCUGGUCUGUAACUGACGCUGGAGGAGCGAAAAGCGUGGGGGAGCGAACAGGGAUUAAAUACCCUGGGGUAGUGCCCCGCCCGUAACCCAUGGAAUGCUUCAGUGUUAGGGGGGUUUCCCCCCCCCCCUUAGUGGUUGCAGGCUUAACGCCAUUUAAGCCACUUCCCGCCAUGGGGGGGGGGUAGCGGGACUUCCAAGAAAACUGAAAACU
rnacentral:rRNA from 1 species